rnacentral:rRNA from 1 species
UACGAAGGGGGCUAGCGUUGUUCGGAAUUACUGGGCGUAAAGCGCACGUAGGCGGCCAUUUAAGUCCGGGGUGAAAUCCUGGAGCUCAACUCCAGAACUGCCUUUGAUACUGAAGAUCUUGAGUUCGGGAGAGGUGAGUGGAACUGCGAGUGUAGAGGUGAAAUUCGUAGAUAUUCGCAAGAACACCAGUGGCGAAGGCGGCUCACUGGCCCGAUACUGACGCUGAGGCACGAAAGCGUGGGGAGCAAACAGG